rnacentral:rRNA from 1 species
GAAUAUUUGUCAAUGGGGGGAACCCCGAUCCAGCCAUGCCGCGUGUGUGAAGAAGGCCUUUUGGUUGUAUAGCUCUUUAAGCGAGGAGGAGGCUUUUCUGGUUAAUACUCUGGAUAAGUGGCCGUUACUCGCCGAAUAAGCUCCUGAUACCUCUUGGCCAGCAGCCGCGGUUAUACAGAGGGUUCAAUCGUUAAUCGGAUUUACUGGGCGUAAAGCGCGCGUAGGUGGCUAAUUAAGUCAAAUGUGAAAUCCCCGAGCUUAACUUGGGUAUUGCAUUCAAUACUGGUUAGCUAGAGUAUGGGAGAGGAUGGUAGAAUUCCAGAUGUAGCGGUGAAAUGCGUAGAGAUCUAGAGGAAUACCGAUGGCGAAGGCAGCCAUCUGGCCUAAUACUGACACUGAGGUGCGAAAGCAUGGGGAGCAAACAG